GGUUAACGCUGGCGGCGCGCCUAACACAUGCAAGUCGAACGAACCCUUGGGGGUUAGUGGCAGAUGGGUGAGUAAAGGGUGGAUUAAGUGCCACUUUGCUGGGGAUACGGUUCGGAAAGGAACGGUAAUACCGAACGUACAUGGUUGGCGGCAUCAGCGAGCAAGUAAACUGUUAGGGUGAAGAGAGCUGUCCGCGUUCUAUCAGCUAGUUGGGGAGGUAACGGCGCACAAAGGCUACGACGGCUAACUUGUCUGACAGGAUGAUCAGUCACACUCGAACGGAGACACCAUCCAGACUCCUACGGCAGGCGGCAGUAACGUAUCUGACACAAUCGGCGAGAGCGUGAUGGAUCGUCGCCGCGUGAGGGAUGAUGGCCUGCGGGGUGUAAACGUCUGUCAGUAGGGAAGAAGAUUGACGGUACCUACUGAGAAAGCUUCGGCUAACUACGUG
rnacentral:rRNA from 1 species